rnacentral:rRNA from 1 species
GACGAACGCUGGCGGCGUGCUUAACACAUGCAAGUCGAACGGUGAAGCGCCUUCCUUUUUGGUGGGUGUGGAUGAGUGGCGAACGGGUGAGUAACACGUGAGUAACCUGCCCCCUUCUUCUGGAUAACCGCAUGAAAGUGUGGCUAAUACGGGAUAUUCUGGGUCUGUCGCAUGAUGGGUCUGGGAAAGAUUUUGUUUCGGUGGGGGAUGGGCUCGCGGCCUAUCAGCUUGUUGGUGGGGUGAUGGCCUACCAAGGCGGUGACGGGUAGCCGGCCUGAGAGGGUGGACGGUCACACUGGGACUGAGACACGGCCCAGACUCCUACGGGAGGCAGCAGGGGGGAAUAUUGAACAAGGGGCGGAAGCCUGAUGCAGCGACGCCGGGGGAGGGAUGGAGGCCUUCGGGUUGUGAACCUCUUUCGGGAGUGAAGCAGGCCUGCCUCGUUUGUGGGUGGGUUGACGGUAGCUGGAUAAGAAGCGCCGGCUAACUACGUG